UAUUUUUAUUUUUGAAUUUAUAUAAAGUAUAUGUGUGUGUGUGUGGAGCUGAGACAGGCUCGGCAGCGGCACAGACUGAGGGAAGACGAGAAAGACAGAGUGGGAGAGAGAGAGGCAGAGAGGGACAGAGGGAGAGUGACAGCAGCGCUCGGUAAGUGUUUCCUUAUUGGUUCAAAUAUGUAACUAAUGGUCCGUAGCUGGAUGGCGGUUUCAAGAUAAGGACAGCAGCGGCUUGUCUUGGUUAGGGAGAAGAGGGGGCUGGCGAGAGGGUGGGCGCGUAGUUAAUUAUGGGGAGGAAAAUUGGCGGGGGGAGAGAAACGGGGUUAAACUGGAAUACCGGUAACUGGUAGUGGGGCGAUUGUGUUGUCCUGAUGUCACUGUGUGCCAAGUUGGGGGUGGGGAGGCAAGGGAACAGCACCUGUGGGGCUCAAGCCGGCGGUCUAGGGCGCCAGCUCUCUGCUGCCCACUGUGUCAGUACCUGCUUAUUAUAGAUCUUCGGUCUCUUCUUGGGCACCAGCCCCCAAAAAGCCAGAAAUGAUUUUUUCCAGAUGCAGCUGGAAGGGGGCUCAGGGCUGAGCGUGAUGGGGUAGAGAUGUUUGGGACCUAUUUUACGUCUUAACCUUAAGUCAGAGAAGUGAAUUGAGAAGCCAAACAAAUGCCAAUGUGAGAGUUUGUAUCUGCUGAUGGUAGCAGCAAUAAGUGAAGUGCUGGUAAGGAAAGGUCAGGCAGAAAUCUGGAAAGAGAGAGGGAGGAGAGGAAAUGUGACAUGAGUUAGCAGAGCCCCUCCAUAUACCUUUCUUCUCCAUUUAAUUGUAAUAAAGCAAAAGCAGCUCGGGUAGCCUCUCAACCUCUUAGAUCAAAAGAGGAAUCACCAGCGCAGGCCUUGGAGGUGUUUGGGGGCAGUUCUCAGCAGCUUAACAUGCCCCAUCUGCCCUCUUCCUCCUUUCCCCCUCCCUGCUGAUCCCCAGCUCCCUUCAACUGGUCACCCCGGGCCCUGUCCCCAAAAUAUUAGCACCCCCAAAUGAUAUCCAUUUCUGUGUUAGGUGUGUCAAAUUUCACUUCUCUCCAUGCCUAAACUUUGAAAGGAGGAGUGUACCUUUUUGGAAUGCGGUGUGUGUAGGGGGGUCAGGUAUGUGCUCAGACAGCUUCCCCCAUCAUAUCUAUGGGAAACUGGAAGCCCCUUAGGUGAGCCAUGCUUUGGUGUUCCCAAACAGCAUUCCCUGCAUUCAGGUUCUCUGGCAGACCAGGAGGCUCUUUGCGAUCUGAUCCUUUGACUAGGAGUUCCAUGGAGAUCAAAGGAGCUUAUUUAUACACAAAACACCAGGCAUUUGGAGUAGAAUUUAUUU
rnacentral:lncRNA from 1 species